AGGCGGACGGAGGGAUGGAUGAGGUUACCUGGAAAAAAUCGGGGCGAUCUAGGCGGGCGAACCUCGCCAACGAACGAUCGGACAUGGGAUAACGGAAGAGGGCGUCGGCUCGACUUCGUCGGUUCCUCGGGCCGAGGCACGUACGGUGAAUAGGGACGGUCGGGGCCGCCCGUACCGGGUCGUGAGAGGUGAAAUUCUAGGAUCGACCCGAGACGAACCGCCGCGAAAGCAUUCGGCAAGGACGCUUUCAUUAAUCAAGAACGAAAGUCGGGGGAUCGAAGACGAUCAGAUACCGUCGUAGUCCCGACCGUAAACGAUGCCGACCGAGGGCCCGGAGGAGUUACGUACGACCCUCCGGGCCCUCCCGCGAGAAAUCAGGAGUAUUCGGGUUCCGGGGGGGAGUAUGGUCGCAAGGCCGAAACUUAAAGGAAUUGACGGAAG
rnacentral:rRNA from 1 species